rnacentral:lncRNA from 1 species
AGAACAUCCUUGACCUUUGCAUCUCGAUCUUGUGCAGCAUCUUCUUGAAAGUUACAAUUGGAGAAGAUUUGGUGAAUAAAUCAGUUACAUUGUCAGUUGAACGAAUCUAUUGCACAUUAAUAUCAUCAUUCUUUUGUAGCUCAUGUAUGUAGAAAAGCUUUGGCAAAAUGUGCUUCGUUCUAUCUCCAUUUAUGAAUCCUCCCUUAAGAUGUGCUAUGUAUGCUGAAUUAUCU